UUGUGAAUCCAGUUUGAGUAGAAGGCAGAGUGGGAAUGGAGGGCUAAGCGAAAAAGCAGAGGGCAAAGGAGUGGGGCUUAAAUCUGAAUGCAAGGGAGAGUGAUCCGAAUAGAACGGCUAUGUGGUCGGAGCUGGGCAUGAGGAAAUGAUACCUGGUUCUGGGUGUGACCUGGUUUGGGAGGAGAGCAGGGAAGAUUGGAAGCUCAUUUCGGAGUUCCCUGCAGGACUCCUGACAGGGAGAUCUGGGCCUGGAGUUGGCAGUGGAAAUGGAAAGGAACCAAGAGAGAGAGGAGCCACUGCUGAGGCCAAAUCCACGGGGCCGGGUCAUGGUUUGACUGGAGGAAGGGAGCAAAGAAUACAGCCUGAAGGGAAGCCUGAGUGAAGAAAACAUCUGCAGCCCAUAAAGAGAUGGGAGAGGCUUUGAGGGACAGCCUAUUCCUCUGACCCGCCAGAUAAGGACAUCAAAGCCUCAAAGCAAGCUGCAAAGUGGCAGAUGUAUGACUGGGACCAAGUGCCUUCCGACUCCAAAUUGUGCUCUGUGCACCCUGCUGCUCGGCCUCUGCACCAGGUUUUCCUCACACACCUGAGAUCAAUCCCCUGGCUCCAGGCUGAAGCUGUUCAGUGCCAAGAGCCAGGAGAAUGAGACCUUGGGCCUGUACGUCAGACUGUUUCCAAAUUCCUCUGGUGGACGGCUGUCAUUUGAGAGGCUCUGACUUCCUUUUUCAUUCUUCUGGAGGUUAUUUUAUAAUUUCCCCCACUCAUAAUAAAAUAGAUAUUUUUCCCAUUAUUAUAUAAAAACAAGAUACUGAGGGGUUCCAUUGCCCCUCUACUUACCCCCCUGACGUUUGUGUUUCCCCAUUCUUUAAACAAGAGCUUUGGAAUGCUGGUAUCUCCUUUAUCUAUUACCACCUCCCAAUUCCUAUUUGCUGAGACCCUUUGGCACUUUUAGUUCCAAAUGAUUAUUAAUUUUUAUCCUCACAUAUAUCUUCAAAUUCUUCGAUUUUGAAGCUCUUUGACACUUAUGUUACAGAUUCCCAAUCUCUCUCCUUUGAGAUUCAGCAAUGUGUGCUUCAAGUUUCCUUGUUCAUCGCUCUUGAGGUUCCCUUAACUUGAAAUGUUUUUUCUUGGUAUUUGUCAUAGCUAGGAUGCAUGUGGGAUAGACACUAAGUCAUCACAUGUUCAUCAGUAGUUUUCUUUUUCUCUGGGAGGCAAAUAGCAUCUUGGCUGAGAGUAAGCUUUUUAGAUUGCAUUACUUUCUUUCAGUGUCAUUUAGAUAUUCCACUGUGUUCUGACUCCCUUAUUGCCUGUUGAGCAGUGGCUAAUACUAAUUUGAUACAUUGUAUUUUGCCCAGAAGUGUGUAAGAUUUCUCUUUAGAUUUGCAAUUCAGAAAACUUGCCAAAAUGUAUCUAGGAAUAGACAAAUUACUUAUUUUUCUCAUCCUGCCUAGAACUAGUAAACCUUUCCAAGGCAAUGACUUCAGUCUAUUUAAACUUGAGUGUUCUUUAUCUAGAGAUAUUUCUUCUGCUUAAUCAUCACACCAUUCAUUGGAUUCUCAAUUUCAUCUCUCCUCUCUUUCUAUUUCUUUCACUGAAUUAUUUAGCUUCAGAAUACUGCUUUUUAUGCCCAGAAAGUCCUUUUCAUGCUGUGAUGGUGUCUCCUUGAGUGAGUGCUUGUUUAUUAUUAAAGUUUAUUAUUAUUAUGAUUCUGUCUCCUCUAGCAGUUACUACAGUGUUCUGGUGGCUCUUUCUUCUUUUUUGACUGCUGGGUUGCCUAAGAGCAUCUCUUUGUCUCCUCUUGGUUCUGUCGGCCCUGAGGUUUAGUCAAGCUAUGGCUGUGCGUUAGGAGAGAAGAAGCUGUGAGUAUCCUGCCCAACCAGAUGUCUCUGCUACCGAGGGCCUGUGGCGGAGCAGCACCCUGUAGCUCCUUCCUUGGUCCAGGACCAGGCAGGAGCUUCCUGCUCCCAUCCUUCUCACCAGUAAGGGCUGCUGUUCCCUCAAGAAAGAGAAGAGGAUGUCCUCCUGUUCAGUGGACUCAGGUGUUCAGCAGUUUCUCCUGGGCUGCUUGU